GUCUGGGGGGGCUCUUUGGGGUCUGGGGGGGCUCUUUGGGGUCUGGGGGCGCUCUGACCCCCCCUCUGCCCCAGCCCGGCCCCGCCCCCCCCGGCCCCCCCCCGUGUCCCUGUACCUGUUCCCAGGGGAGGGGGGCGGCUCCGCCCGAGCCCCCCCCGAGCCCCCCCAGGGGGGCGGCACCGACCCCGACCCCGACCCCGACCCGGAGGGGUUCUGCGUCCUCGAGGCCCCUGAGACCCCUGAGAUGGUGAGUGGGGGUCCUGGGGGGGUCCUGGGGGGGUCGUGGGGGGGUCCUGGGGGGCUUUUUGAGGGUCCUGGGGGGUCUCUGAAGGGUCCUGGGGGGGUCCCGGGUGACUUUGGGGUGGGUGUGGGUGACCCCUGGGUGUCCCCAGGUGGCACUGGGGGUGUCUGUGGGUGACAUUUUGGGGUCCCAGGUGAGGUUCAGGUGACAUUUUGGGGUCCCAGGUGAGGUUUGGGUGACAUUUUGGGGUCCCAGGUGAUGUUCAGGUGUCUGUGGGUGACAUUUUGGGUUCCCAGGUGAGGUUCGGGUGUCUGUGGGUGACAUUUUGGGGUCCCAGGUGACACUGGGGUGACAUUUGGGGUGCCCUUUGCCCCCAGGCCGCCCCCCGGCUGCGCUGGCUGGCCCCGGGGCCGCUGCGGCUCCUGCCCGGCCAUUUCGGGGCCCCCCGGGGGGAGCGGGACCGGCUGCGCCCCCCCCCGGGGCUGCCCCCGCCCCGCUCCCGCCUCGUCCUGCGCGACCUCAGCCUCACCUGGGCCCUCUGCGGGGGGCGCGACUUCGGCCCCGCCCCGGCCAGGUGGGACACACCUGGGGGACACACCUGGGGGACACACCUGGGGGGACACACCUGGGGGGACACACCUGGGGGGACACACCUGGGGGGGGGACACACCUGGGGGAGGACACACCUGGGGGGGGACACGCCCAUGGGUGGGGCUAAGGGACACCUGGGGGGACACGCCCAUGGGUGUGUGCGGUGGGCGUGGCCAGCACAGACAGUGGGCGUGGCCGCACUGACCCCGCCCCCGCAGGCCCCGCCCCCGCAGCUCAGGCCCCGCCCCCCCGCGGUGGCGCUGCCGGGGGGGCCCCGGGAGGGUCCCGGAUCAGCUGAUGGAGCUGCACCUGGGCAAGCGCCCCCUCCCCAGGUGUGUCUGCAGCACGAGACGUACGCGGCCCCGCCCGGGCCCGGGGGGCUCUCGGGGGUCCCGGGGGAGGCGCCCACCUCCCGCCUGGUGCUGCUGGUGCCCGACCUGGAGCUGCGCGACCGCCUCAGCGCCGCCGCCGCGCCCCCGUUCCUCGGCCGCCACCCCCGCGCCGCGCCCGGCCCACGGACCCCCACGGUACGGGGGGACCCCGGGGUGGGACCCCCAAAUCUGGGACCCCCAAAUGUCAGCCCAAACCUGGGACCCCCUCAGAUCUGAGACCCCCAAACGUGACCCCAAAUGUGGGACCCUGGGAUGGGGCCCCUGGGACCCCCAAAUAUCACCCCAAAUCUGGGACCCUCUCAGAUCUGAGACCCCCAAAUCUGGGAGCCUGAGUGUGGGACCCCCAAAUGUCAGCCCAAACCUGGGACCCCUGGGAUGGGACCCCCAAAUCUGAGACCCCCAAAUAUCACCCCAAAUCUGGGACCCUCUCAGAUCUGAGACCCCCAAACGUGACCCCAAAUCCGGGACCCCCAAAUGUGACCCCAAAUGUGGGACCCCGGGAUGGGACCCCCAAAUGUCACCCCAAACCUUGGACCCCCUCAGAUCUGAGACCCCCCAAACCUGACAUCCCCAAAUCUGGGACUCCCCAAAUAUCACCCCAAAUUAUGGACCCCCCAGAUCUGAGACCCCCAAAUGUGGGACCCCGGGCUGGGACCCCAAAUCUGAGACCCCAAAUUUUCCCCCCAACCCAAACCACCCCAAAACCGACCCCCC
ensembl:lncRNA